UCGUAGGCACUACUUGGGUGAGAGUGGUC
rnacentral:misc_RNA from 1 species